rnacentral:rRNA from 1 species
GACGAACGCUGGCGGCGUGCUUAACACAUGCGAGUCGAACGGAAAGGCCCUGCUUUUGUGGGGUGCUCGAGUGGCGAACGGGUGAGUAACACGUGAGUAACCUGCCCUUGACUUUGGGAUAACUUCAGGAAACUGGGGCUAAUACCGGAUAGGAGCUCCUGCUGCAUGGUGGGGGUUGGAAAGUUUCGGCGGUUGGGGAUGGACUCGCGGCUUAUCAGCUUGUUGGUGGGGUAGUGGCUUAUCAAGGCUUUGACGGGUAGCCGGCCUGAGAGGGUGACCGGCCACAUUGGGACUGAGAUACGGCCCAGACUCCUACGGGAGGCAGCAGUGGGGAAUAUUGCACAAUGGGCGGAAGCCUGAUGCAGCAACGCCGCGUGCGGGAUGACGGCCUUCGGGUUGUAAACCGCUUUCGCCUGUGACGAAGCGUGAGUGACGGUAAUGGGUAAAGAAGCACCGGCUAACUACGUG